CUACUGUGAGCAGUCUACUCCGAACCCUUACAACGGACGACCUACCUCGGAUUCCUACCGUAAGCAAAUCCCAUCCGAGCCUCUGCUGUAAACAUAUUCCUCCCGAAAUUCCAUUACAGGUAUACUUCAACCGAGCUUCUUCGUAGUCGGGUCCCGUGACAACCGAUCUUCGAUCGAGCUUCUACAAUUGGACAGGACCCAUCGGCCAGGUCACUACUCUGAGCUCCCACGAUAACUGACCUUCAACCGAGCUUCUACAAUAAGCGAUCUCCUUUCAGCCUUCUACAAGAACCAGACUUCGACCGAACCUCCAUAGCGGUUGGAUAUUGGAUGAGCUUCUAUGAUGAUCAGGCUCCAUCAGCUGGAUUCCUACAACGAUCGAUCGCCUCCGAUGUCUGCC
rnacentral:lncRNA from 1 species